GAGUCCAGGCUUCCCCUGCUCUGAGGCUGCCUGAGGCAGCUAACAGCAUGCUGGGGAAGCAUUGCCAGCUGCCGCGUGGGGGACGGUGCUGUGCCAACCGCAAGAACGGCCAGUGCUGGUGCCGAAGUGGUUUUCAUCCAGCAAAUGCCUCCAGUUCGCUGGAACGGCCAAGCAUGAUGGGGCGUGUAACAUGCUGUUGCAUGUUCACACCCUCCUAGUCAUCCAGCUGCCUCCUGGGGUGCAUUUGUCAGUCGGGAAAGGGGUGAAAGCAAAGGAAAGAAAAAUUCAUGGCCUUUGGGGGUCUGAGUGCAGUGAUAAAAGCUGGAAAGGAGAAGGAAGGAUUUAUUUUUCACAUGGUUCCUUUCAAGCUUCCCGCUUAGAAGUGCUGUGCCUGAAAUGGCUUUUCCGAGAGUCAUGUUGCCUGUGUGCUCCCACCCCAGGAGGGGCAGCUGUGCCCCCCUCCACCCCCGAGCGGCCCAGAACACCACGUUUGACUCUGCUUUCUGUCAUGGUUAAUUUACACAGGUCACUUGGGUGGUUUAUAGCUUUGGAGAAAUGCGAUUCACAAACUCAAAUGCGAUAAGGAUGGGGGAAAGAAAGAAAGAAAACUACGUCAACCCAAAGGAAUGCAGUUGGUAGAGAGCCCAGUCAGUGUGUGUCUGGCAUAAACCCUGGGAAGGGGGAUCCCACUUAAAACGGGGCAAAACAGUAACCCAGCCUGAAGAAGCAAGGCUGGGAAGGACUGGGCUGCCGGAGCAGGGUGGCACAGGGCAGCUGCCCCCAGCGCAGGGUGAGGCAGAGAAGAAACUGUGUUUUGGGGGUCUGGUUGAUAUGAUGGAAGGAUCUGGUCCUAACUCAGUUGGGUUGCUCUGGACUGGCUAAAAGACAAGGUCAGUGUGUGAAGUGCAGAGGACAGAAACUUGUGUGCUGCUGGAAGUCCCCAAGGAUGCUCUUUGGUCAUCCAGCCUCUUGUCUGUCCCAAGGGCCAAACUGCCUCUUCUUGAAGUCCAUCAGUAUAGAGCUGAUAAAAUUCACUGUUGCCUAUCCACUGGGGGAUUCCUCCUGCUGCUUAUUCCUCUCUUUGCCCGGGCUCAUGUUCCUAAAGCAGGCAGGAUCUCUGGAAACUCAGUGUAGAGUAAUCAUCACCUUUUGGCCAAGUCUUGACAAGUUGGGGAUGAUUCAAACAGGAGUUGUGGAAGGGGUGUCACAUUAUCCAGGGUGAAAGCUGUUUGCCAGCUGCUGCAGUGAGGUUCACCAUGCUGCAUCUUGGCAAGUGAACUGAACCACAGAGACCUUCAGUGGGAGAAACACAUUCCUUCUGAGAUCAGAAACUAAAACAGCUGAGCCUGGCCCUUUACAAAGUGGCAAGAGUUGUUCUUUGCCUACCAAAUCUGGCACUCUGGAGAGGGAUGUGGAGGAAUGAGAAAGAAGAGCACAAGGUGCUAUCAUUCAUCUCCUCUGCACGUGGAAGCCGCAGUGUUCCUCAGCUGGCCCCGGGUGCUGCAGGGAUCUUCCAUCAGUCUCUGCUUGCAGAGAGGUCUGGAGUGGGCACCAACAGCAGGGACAGUGCACCCCCCGGAACCAUUUGGAAAGCAUCUGGAAAGAGGACACAUGCUGAGGGCAGCCUGUUGCAAGAUCAUCAUAGCACAGUUUGCUCUUGAGGGAAAUCUGUCCUAUGCGAGGUUCCCCCUUCGGGCUGCAGGACAGCUCCAGGCAAACUUCACGAGCAGAUCCAUGUUAACGCAGAUCUUGUGGAUCUGCCAAGCAGGGAGAAGGCUUCAUAACAGGAAGCAAUUUAUGACCUGAGCUGUUGUGUUUACACAGUGAUGACUGUGCUCUGCAGACCCUCAAGGGACUGCAGCCAUGCUCCAGACCACUCUCAAACUUCUCCAAAGAUAACAAAUCCAGCAUGUGCGAGCUGUGUGCAAGCCACAUGCCACACGCACCCCAGAGCAGUCAGGCAGCAGGGGUGCUUUGCUUCUGGCUUGUCUGCCUGGAGAAGCUGCCCACGGUUGCUUCCCGCAGAGAAGUACUCUGUGGAUUUGAGACGUCCGAGGGGCUCUGUGUUACGUGCUUCACGUUAGAUAAACGCACCAGCUACAAGGAGAGGAAACGCUUCCCUGCAGUGGCCGAGCUCAGAAGUAUUUCUGAGACACAGUUCUUAUGAGACGGAGGAAACGAAUUUGAAGGAAAAGGUUAAUCUCCCCUGCACACGCUGGAGGGACAGGACCUCUUGCUGCUGGACCGCUGUGGUGGUACCCAGAGGCACCCUCCUGCACGCUGACCCUCGCUGCUGUGAUGCGUUUUGAGAGAUGCUACAAAUCUGCACUGCGCAAAUGUCCUGCUGCUCUCGGAGUGAGUUUGUACCUGUGCGUUAAAGAAGGGGGGACGGUCCCUGCUAAGCUGCUACCUUGAGCGUGCUCUGGCCCUGCGUGGGAAGGGGCUAGCAGCCUGUGCCCAGACCUGCAAAGGAUACGGAGGGGAUGGGAGCUGCAGUGCUCUGGAGCCAUCCCAUGCUGUGCCUGGCCCCGAGCUGAACAGCGCUGCUCUCCCGCAGCACUCCCUGGGGAAUAAUCCGGCAUGCAGCCUGCUGGCUCUGCCCUUGGCUCUGCUUGGGCCACAGACUGAGAACAGGGAGGAGACAGGGAUAGGGAGGGAAUUGCACCCUUUUUCAAGUACCUAUUCUCUGCCAGGGUGAGUUAAAGUGGCUUUUGUGGAGCUGAGAACAAAGGCUGCUAUAUUUCUGCAAACUUUGUUGGGCUGGACCUGCCCCAUGGUUUGUCACCUCUCCCGCAGGACAGUCUGUAAACAGAGACAACCAUACAGUAGGCCCCUGUUACACAGACUUUUUAUACAUAUUCUUCUGUGGUUUUGGCCUCUAAACAGGGCCAUAUUUUAAUCUCUUAAACAGACUUCAUCUCCCAUUAUUCCUUCCCCAAAUAUUUUAUGUGCAACUGGAGGCCUGGGAGCAGGCCAGCACCAGAGGCGCCCAGCCAAGGCGAGCGGAGGGGCUGGAUGGUGGCAAGGCAGAGGGAGGUGCAGCCCGACCCUUUCAGCCUCCUGUUUGCUUUGGUAGCUGCCCCUAUUUACCUCAAGCACCUCAAUAAAACCCAUGUUUGUUAAAGAUUAAAUGCUGUCGCUGCUCCACUGUGGGUUCAAAGAACUUCCAGUCUGAAGUCAAGCAAGUGUUUUCAUUCUCAAAAAAACCUAGGGAUGGCCAAAACCUGAUGUGCUGGCUGUGUGGAGAGGCUCUGGCAUUGAACUGAUACGGAAAAUAAGCACUCAGCCAUGAAAAACAGUCUGCAGCCUUCCCGCGAGCUCUCUGAACUCAGGAUGAGAGCGGAGGCCUCCGGGUGAGGUGUUUAUUCCUCUAUCCCCAACCUGCUUCAGACGCGGUCCGCUCGGAGUUAUGGCUGUGGCUGGCAGCAGCGCGAGUCUCGCCAAGAUGUUUUCACAAAGCGCCUGUUUAAAAAUGAUGAGAAGUUACAGGCUAGUUAAUGGAUUCACUGGUGACUUCUCGGUAAAAUAAAGAGGAGGAGGAAUGGCUCUGUGCUGCCAGAGAGAAGGCCAUGAAGUUAGGGAGGCAGAAAUUACUUCUUGUCCAGGCCAGGGAAGCAGGCAGGAAACUCUUGUGCCAGAGGAGCCAGCAGAGCUGCUCGGGCGCUGGGGGAGCAUUGCUGUCUGCACUGCUGGGGGUCCGGCCCUCAUCUCCCCCAUUAGCCUCAGUGCCUCCACCCGCAGUCCCUCUCACUGGAGCCUCCAUGCUUAGUCUGGGCAGUGAAGGCCUCCGGGUGCGUGGGUUUAAGCCUAAUUAACAAUCCCUAAGUAAAAUAAUGCACCCCUGUCCCUCCCCUGGAGAGCAUGAAUGCAGCUUGUCCCUGACCUCGGCUCAGUCAUUUGACCUCUUUCUGCCCUGGGAGAAGCACGUUGUCCUCUGUGGGACCUAAACAUGUGCUUAAAGUUAAGCCUGGGAUUAGAGGCUGUGCUGAAGCUGGAUGGGAUGAGUCACUCGCUUUCCUGAAUCAGCAGAGAGGCCUCGCGACGUGCUAGGAAGACCAAGAGAAAACGAGGGAUCUGAUGGCUCAAAGGGAGGUUUAUUCAGAUGAAUGGGACGCGGAGCACAUUGUCAAAUGCUGAAAGGAUGGGAUGGCAUGAACCGGGGUGUGGGACUGAAAAGACCAGCAAUGAUCCCGUCCCACAUACGUCAACCAAACCAUAGGGGACAGAAAGUACCAUGAAAUCUGUGGGGUCACGUCACUGUUCGCAGGGCACUGGAUGAAGUUCUUGGUGAUGGAGGACGCUGUACUGAGGGCCACAGCUGAAGGAUACUUCUGUGCAGAAGAAGGAAGGCUCCCCGCUUCUGCACUGUGCUGCAUGCCAGCCCUGGCCCUGAAGGGACCUUCUCAACACUCCAAAUUUUGUGUCUGUGCUGAAGCACCAACUUCUGUUUGCUGCAGAGGGUUUGGGUUUCAAGGCCGUUGUGAUCCCAGGCUCUGUCCCCCUGCAUAAAGCAGAACCACAACUGCUUUGUGGAACUAACCACAUUUCUGGCAGGGCCUGCCUGUACUGUCUGGGAAGGUGUCCAGGCAUGGUUUAAGAGAGGGGGUGUGUUCCCUCCUGGAUAUUAGUGAAUUAUCCAUUUCCACAAGCUUCAUGACAACACCUUGGAGUGGCCCAGAAGCCCUAAGCCUGGACCCUACACCUCAACCUUCAUCUCACCUCCCAGCACGUGGCUACUAGACAUUGGCCUUGGCUACUAAAUGAGUGAUGCUUGUUUGGUCCUAACUGCACUGGGAGCCAUUUGCAGCUUGCUCACACCAACCUCAUGAUUACAGAUGGAUGCGCUGCCCAGUGCUCAGAGAAAGCAAGCCCUGGAGGGGCUGCUGGCCCGUGUGCCCUGUUUGCCUCCCCGCAUGCUGCCUCGCCGCCAGCCCACAGGCAUCCCGCGCUGGCACGGGGCUGGGCAUGGGCAUGCAGAGUCCUGCACACCUUCGAGGACGUGUGCUGACGGGGCUGGAGGUUGCGGCUCACUAGACACGAGGUAGGCAAGCUCCGUCUUGAGGGCAGCUUGUGCUGUGCCCUUGACAGCUGUGGUAGAUGCAGGCAGCGUGAUCUGUAGCUGGUUCCAGGAUGGGCAUCUUUCACCUGGGCAGAACUAAGUAAUCCUGUGGACGGUCAAGCCCUUGGCUUAAAAUCACCUCUGGCAGACAAAGAGAGUCCCGGUAGGGUCUGGGAUAGAAUCAGAUAAGACGCCCAUUUUGUGAAUGCCACACAUAGGUUCACCCCAGCUUCUGCCCAGGGUCCCCAAAGGAAUGGGUCUUCCUCUGUCGCCUUGAGUGACACCUGACAGUCGGUGCCACUUGGGAGCAAGGGCAGUCAGUGAUUUGGCAGGCUUGCUUGUCUCUCAGUUUCCUUCGUAUGUUUUCCGAAAGGACGUUCUGGUCUAGGAGGUAGCCAGCCCUGGAGAGUGGAGCCUGCUGUCUGCUCCACAGCCAUAUGGGCAGGACCAAGGAAACCUUCAUUCUCUUUCUGCAGAAUGCCACCACUCUGGCCAGGGUGGGUGUAUAUUCCAGUGCCUGAAGUCCCGGGGCUCUCUGCUGAGCCUGCUGUUGAAAGAGCCAAGAGAUGCUGAGCAGGACACAGACUCCUGCCUCACAGGGGGAGAGGGGAGGAGAAGGAAACGACUGUGUCCAUUAAAAUGGAGCUAAUGACUACAGGAAACGAAAGCAACAUUUUGUGCCCUGUAGGACCACCAAGCACAUAGGAGCCCUGGCUGUUACUACUGAACUGCAGUUGCUAACUAAGUAAUUCACCGUUAUUUCGCAUAGCAGCCCAGGACAGGAAAGGAGGGAUUCAAUCCUGAAAUGAAACUUUAAGGUUGUGGGAAGGACACAGCUACCCUCACUGGACUUUGGCUAAGGCAGCAGGAACACCCCUUUACUGGUAGGACAUAGGACAGGAAAAUAAAAAUGACAGAACUCUCCAUUUUUUCUGUUUUUCCUUAGAUGUCCUUUGAAAACCAGUCCUCACUAUCCCCCACAAUGGCACCUCUUAACACCAGGCUGGGCAUUGACAGUGGUCUGCUCUUGCUUCUUGCUGAGCCCUAACAUUUUUGGGUUCUUAGGGGGCUCCUAUCUGGACAGGAGCCUGGUUAGGUGGUGAUAUAUAAGACGCAGAUGUCUCCAUGCCAUAGAAGCACUGAACAACCCUCUUCAGAUACAGCCUUCUUGUUUUUACCAGCCUUGUAACCGCUGGUGCAUGCAGCAUGGCAUGGAGCCAUGGCCCUGUGGGCCUCGGGAGAGACUAGGCUGGCAGGCGCUGGCACUGGUGACAAUACGGUGGUGGCUGAAUCACAGCAUUGCUCUGCAAAGUCCCCGGGAAAGGGACACUUCCGUGUCAUUCCGGGACUUGCCGUCCCAUGUGUGUAGCUGUGGCUUGGCUCGGUGUGACUCCCAGAGCAAGGAAUUGCUGAGGCGGGGGGAGAGGGACAACGUCUCAUACUGUAGUGACUGUCGGAGGUCCUCAGUCAGGCUCGAGCACCCCAGGCCGGCCCCGGCAUGAAAGCAGCAAGGAAAUACCCAAAAAGCGAACCUCAAAGGCAGCAAGGCAAGCAAGAGCUGAGGAAAGCCACCAGGCGAGUUCACAGGAUGCAAAAGUAAUUGGGCGUUUCUGACAGCUCUGUCUCCCCGCCACGAAGAGGCCGCGGGACCUUGGCAAGGCAGAGAGCGAGCCGCUCUGGCAAGGCCCCUCCAGCUCCCGGUGAGAGCACAGCAGAGCGGCAGGCACCAGCCUGCAAGGGUCGGCCGCUGGCGUGACGCCUCGGCCUGGGGGACCUGGCUGAGAAAGCUGGAGCCAAGGCAGGCAAAGCAAGGAGGCUGGCUGCCUCCCAGGCCGGAGACGUGCGCACCACGGGGAAGGGGCUUGACGGAGGGUGCUGAGGUGUGGUGCGUGCUUGCCAGAAGGUAAAUGCACCUUAGAGAAGGGAAAAACACGUGGUCAGGUGACCCCAGAUCAUCAAAAGCAGAGCUGGGCACCCUGAUUUGCUCCCUGGUGCCCACGGGCUGCAGCCGAGCUGGGGGCUGACAGGGGUAGUCCUGCACCAGGAGCCGGGCGCUUCCGCAUCCCGCCAGCCCAGCCAUCCCUGCUAGGUCAGGGAACAAGCCUGAACGGGCCCUGUGAAGCCUUCCUAGGUCAGUGCAUGGCAUCACACAGCUCCUGACUAUAAGGGUUAGGAGCUGGACUUGUCAAACUGGGACCUCUCUUUCCUUGGGAGCACCAACUUGUACAGUUCUCUGUCACUCAUGCUUACCUGGGACUUGCUGGCAAUCCAGGGCUUCAGGAAUCGCUGUUGAAUCCCUCUUCUAGACUCUUGCGCCAUCUCAACCUCUGUUGUUGUGGGUGUGAAAUGAUUUCUUUUUCCCCAGUGUUACACCUUGCUGUGGCCUGUGAUGCUCCAAAUAAUCCAAAGCCAGAAGUCAAGCCAAGAUCACAAACCUCCAAAAGGAGAGAUGUUAGAGAGAGAAAGGUGGCCCUUGUUAUUUUUAAGCCUGCUUUCUGAUGUGUUUUUCCAACAUUUUUUCUUCCCCUUUUGGUAGAUAUGCUCUUCAUUCUUUGUUUCUUCAAAUAAAAGCUGCAGUUCUCACCUCCUCAGAUGACUCUGGGACCAGGUGCUUCAGGGAAGUGGUCACGCACAAGGAGAGGUGCCGUGGGCACCCUGGACGGCCUUUUCUGCUCAUGGAGCGGGGAAGCAGUUCGCGUUUCUGAAUUGCUUUGUGCUCCUCCACAAAGCUGUGCUCCCAGCUCGCGCUGGGUAAUUGUGAGCUUUGCAAAAUGCAUUGCUUUUCCUUGGUGUUUUUCAUAGCUCUUAUUUUAGAAAACUGCUCCUAGCUUGCUUUGCCCUGCUAGUGUAAGGCUUAAACGCCAAGCUACUCCAAAUUUUUAAGGCAAAGCUAAACAUUUCCCACAUACAGGACUUGAAAAAAAUCAGCAUCUCUCCCACAUACACCUAUAGUCCUCAUAAUUCAGGAUUUCUGAGUUGUGAUUUUAAAAUGCCCGGGGCCUGUCCUGCUGUGAAAGGAGCACCAGCAUCCUUAUGAAACCUCAUGCUGAACUCUCCCUAAAGAUGUCUUGAGUCUGUUUUAAGCCUUGCUUUUUUUCCUCCCUUGUCUAAUGCUGCUGGGUUAAUUCAGCUCCUGAAUAUUAACCUUUAUGCUGUUUCUCCCAUAUGCCAGUCUUAAAUCUCAUAAUUAUCAGGUCGGCACCAUCAGUCCUAUUCCACAGGCAGGGAAACCGAAAGACCGAGGAAGGAAGUGACUUACCAGCGGUGGCCCUGUGAGCCUGGGAUUGAACUCACAGCAACACCCAGGUCCCAUGAGUCCAGGACCUGCUCUGAGUCCCUGCCCUCAUCCUGGGGAAGGGGACAGCAUUUUUUACAUGCUAAAAAAGUUUAAGCCACUCCCUGAAACUCAACUGCUUUCAUCCAGAAAGAGCCCUUAGGUUACACCACUCAGCAGAUAGCUCACAGGCGUCAUUGGGUCAGAUGCUCUGGAGCUCUUCCAGGCCUGGACGAUGUUUAAAUAGAAAGGUUAUGUACCUGGGAGAUUUAUUUCAUCUUUUAAUUGGUUGUUUGUUUACAUGACUCGGGAGCUCUUUGCUGAUGUUUGCUUUGCUGGCUCAGUCAGCUUCUGAAAAUCCUGGACGGAUGCAUUCCAGCCUGGCCCUUGUGCCGGGGAAGUCUGGUUCGCAGCUCCUGCUCCUCGGUUUCAUCAGAGGAACCCUGGUGGUUUCCAUCCAGCCCGUUUCAAGCCUUGCUCCGUGGAGAGCACCGUCCCCCAGCCCUCCCCACCAGCGCACAAAGGCCAAGCAGGGCGAGGAUUUCCUUUUUAUUUUGCAGUCAUUCCCUGACAGAUUAGAGCUGGCAGCAGAAUGAUAUCAGAGCUGAGAUCUCCCCAGUUUUGCCCUUGCAGAUGUGAAGUUCAGUGUUGCUGGGGAUGACUGAAGAGCUCGCAGGGAGGCAAAACAACAUUUGUUUCAGAGGAUUUGGACGUUUGCUGCUGCGGCAACCCCGGUGGGCUCUGGGAGCCUGAGGCCCCUCCGCUGCUCUGCCGGAGCUUGUGUUUCAGCGGUGCCCGGGCUGGGUCCGGCCGGAGACUUACCGCACAGGCCCAGACCCAGAAGAGGAAGCAGAGAAUGGCACGGAGCCAGCAGCAUCCCUAUUCAUCCCAGGCAUGGGAAAGUCCCGAUUGGGGUCCUUCACCCCAAGAUCUCUGCUUCCACUUUUUUUAUGUGGAGCAUGUUACAGAAGAACUUGAGGCCUUGAGGUUUUGGAGAGAUUUGCCUGGCUGAAGUAACAACCCCAGAAUCUGUAUGUGUGUGAUAGGGACUGGGGGCUCCUGGUCUCCUCUUCGCCUUUGGGCAGGCUGACAGAUAACUCUCUGGAGCAGGGUCAGUCCUGGCUGCAGAGGCCAUGGAGAUGGAGCCUGCCCCCUUAGGUGGGCUUUUGGGUUCCUCCUCUCAGGGUUACGCUACCUCCUCCUCAUCUUUCCAGGCACUGCAGAGGAUGAGAAGCAAAACACCUGCAUGUUUAUGGGUUUUUUUUCACGCAAAUGUUAAAAACUCAGUUCUCUGCUGGUGUCAGGCUGCAGGAACAGUUUUGGAGCAAAGCCAAUUUCCCCCCACUGAAGCUCUAGAGAAAAAGGAUUUGAAAAUGACUUGCUAAGUGCAAAGAUUCUCUCUUAACUCGUCUUCCAUUUUUAUUUAAUUUUUUCCAGUGCCUUACUUACAGAAUCAGCAAGUUGUCCCAGGACGGGAAGUGUAAAUCAACUGUCUGGGCCAUGCAGCACUGGCUGAUCAACUGCUCUGGGUGUGAAUUCCUGGGAGAUUGUGGCCCAUCUCCUGCCUGAUGAGUGUUUUUCGCAUUGCUAUUUCCCUUUCAAUGAGCCACAGGAUUGGCUUUGCAGGCACGCCUUGGCACUGAGACCCUGCGGUGAUAGACAUGACAGCCAUGUGGGUGGAGCGCGCCAUGUACAGGGUGUCUUAAGGCUUUUUGGCAGAGUGGGUGUCUGAUGGCAGAUGGUGCAGAAGGAUGAGUGGCAGUCACCAGCCCCGAAAACCCGAUGCUGAGCGGGACUCAUGGGCGGCGAGGACUUGCUUCAUUCAGGGCCUCUCUCCCUCCCAGCCUCGGCGUUGAGCAAGAGCCAGCAGAUACUUAUCUUUGCUUGGCAUGUGUCCCUGGAGGGGAGAAGGGAAGUGACGUUCCCAGGCUCUUUAGAUAAGAAGCAACCACCCAGCCAGAUCAGUGGGGUAAGUCUUGAAGGAGCAGCAUCAGAGAUGAUGGGGAAGCCGCAGAUAAAGGUGAGGCUAACACCCAAGAUAAGCUGGCAUUGACAAGAGCCCCCAGAAAUUAGGAAGAUAAAGAUGAGUGUUUCCAAGGCAGACAGGUUUGUUCCAAAAACCACACAGCUUCUGCUGCUGAAGUUCACACACUGCGCAGAGUGCCUGCAGGAGACAUGUGGCCCUCCGGGGACACGUGGGACUGGAGGAGCUCCCUGACCUUCCUGCUGGCCCCAAGAGAUGGGCACUCAGAGGCCGUCUUCCCAUCGGAGUGGCUGGUCAGGUCCUCCACCAGCUUCCUGCCUGUGUUCAUUGAACUGAUGUCAACAGGCUCCAUGUGUGUUUGGGAGGAGCUGAUGGGUGUCACUGCAGGAAUGUGUGGGUUUUUUUCCCCUCCCUUCAUGUUUUUUGGGUUACAAAUGUGUUAAUGUCUGAUUUGCGCAAUCAAUCAAUUUCACAAUCUUUGCUCCCUGCAAACAACUGGAGAUGAAUGCGUGUUGCCUAACUGGCCAAAUCAAAGAGCUGCUUGGGCUCCGCCAGCUUUGCUAACCGCACUUGACCAGAUCUCUCUUCUUUCCAUCCUCCCUUCAAAGUUUGCAUUAAUAAUGAUAAUCAAAACCA